rnacentral:rRNA from 1 species
UACGUAGGUGGCAAGCGUUGUCCGGAUUUACUGGGUGUAAAGGGCGUGCAGCCGGAGAGACAAGUCAGAUGUGAAAUCCACGGGCUCAACUCGUGAACUGCAUUCGAAACUGUUUCCCUUGAGUGUCGGAGAGGUAAUCGGAAUUCCUUGUGUAGCGGUGAAAUGCGUAGAUAUAAGGAAGAACACCAGUGGCGAAGGCGGAUUACUGGACGAUAACUGACGGUGAGGCGCGAAAGCGUGGGGAGCAAACAGG